CUUACACAUGCAAGUCGACGCCCCGCGAGGGGAGUGGCAGACGGGUGAGUAACGCGUGGGAAUCUACCCAUCUCUACGGAAUAACUCAGGGAAACUUGUGCUAAUACCGUAUACGCCCUUCGGGGGAAAGAUUUAUCGGAGAUGGAUGAGCCCGCGUUGGAUUAGCUAGUUGGUGGGGUAAAGGCCUACCAAGGCGACGAUCCAUAGCUGGUCUGAGAGGAUGAUCAGCCACAUUGGGACUGAGACACGGCCCAAACUCCAACGGGAGGCAGCAGUGGGGAAUAUUGGACAAUGGGCGCAAGCCUGAUCCAGCCAUGCCGCGUGAGUGAUGAAGGCCCUAGGGUUGUAAAGCUCUUUCACCGGUGGAGAUAAUGACGGUAACCGGAGAAGAAGCCCCGGCUAACUUCGUGCCAGCAGCCGCGGUAAUACGAAGGGGGCUAGCGUUGUUCGGAAUUACUGGGCGUAAAGCGCACGUAGGCGGGUAUUUAAGUCAGGGGUGAAAUCCCGGAGCUCAACUCAGAACUGCCUUUGAUACUGGGUACCUAGAGUAUGGAAGAGGUAAGUGGAAUUCCGAGUGUAGAGGUGAAAUUCGUAGAUAUUCGGAGGAACA
rnacentral:rRNA from 1 species